UACGUAGGGUGCAAGCGUUGUCCGGAAUUAUUGGGCGUAAAGCGCACGUAGGCGGCUUAGCAAGUCGGAUGUGAAAGCCCUUGGCUUAACUGAGGAAGUGCAUCCGAAACUGGCAGGCUAGAGUACUAAAGAGGGUCGCGGAAUUCCCGGUGUAGAGGUGAAAUUCGUAGAUAUCGGGAGGAACACCGGUGGCGAAGGCGGCGACCUGGGUAGAUACUGACGCUGAGGUGCGAAAGCGUGGGGAGCAAACAGG
rnacentral:rRNA from 1 species